rnacentral:lncRNA from 1 species
UCUGACCGUCUUGGGUUCCCUUUCUCCCAGUAAUUAGCGAAUAAUCCUUCCAGGCAGAGUGUAGACACAAGCAUAGCACAACCCCUCACACAUGAGCCGAGGUUUAAUGCUGGGUAGAGAUCUGUUUAAUGGCACUCAAAGCAACAGUAUUCAUGCAGUAAUACCACUCCUCCUCUGAGGAAAACAAAAUGACAGUUAUUGGGUCAGACAGAGUUUGAAUGUGAC